rnacentral:rRNA from 1 species
AAAAACAUGUCCUUUAGAAUUUAAUUUAAGGUCUAACCUGCCCACUGAUUUAAAUGGCCGCAGUAUUUUAACUGUGCAAAGGUAGCAUAAUCAUUAGUCUUUUAAUUGAAGGCUUGUAUGAAUGGUUGGACGAAAUAUUAACUGUUUCAUAAAAAUUUAUUUAGAAUUUUAUUUUUUAGUUAAAAAGCUAUAAUUUUUUUAAAAGACGAGAAGACCCUAUAGAUCUUUAUAAUUUAUUUGUUAUAGUUAUAUAGAUAAUUUAAAUUAUGAUUUUAUAUAUUAUUUUGUUGGGGUGACAUUAAAAUUUAAUAAACUUUUAAUAAAUUUUUACAUUAAUUUAUGAAUAAUUGAUCCAUUAUUAGUGAUUAUAAAAUUAAGUUACCUUAGGGAUAACAGCGUAAUUUUUUUGAAGAGUUCAUAUCGAUAAAAAAGAUUGCGACCUCGAUGUUGGAUUAAGAUAUAAUUUUGGGUGCAGCAAUUCAAUAAUUAAGUCUGUUCGACUUUUAAUUUCUUA